UGCCCAGCAACUCUUAUCCCUACCUCCUCGUGGUACUGGCCGGGGUACGAGUAACCUCAGGGAAGAUCGGGUAGCCAACCCCGGUAGGAACUCUGGUCGUAUGCUGACAGGGAAGG
rfam:Aedes aegypti strain Liverpool supercont1.300 genomic scaffold, whole genome shotgun sequence.